AUCCUGGCUCAGGAUGAACGCUGGCGGCGUGCUUAACACAUGCAAGUCGAACGGGCUCAUAUUGAAACCUAGUGAUUUAUGAGUUAGUGGCGGACGGGUGAGUAACGCGUGGAAAACCUGCCGUAUACUGGGGGAUAACACUUAGAAAUAGGUGCUAAUACCGCAUAAGCGCACAGCUUCGCAUGAAGUGGUGUGAAAAACUCCGGUGGUAUACGAUGGUUCCGCGUCUGAUUAGCUUGUUGGCGGGGUAAUGGCUCACCAAGGCGACGAUCAGUAGCCGGCCUGAGAGGGUGAACGGCCACAUUGGGACUGAGACACGGCCCAAACUCCUACGGGAGGCAGCAGUGGGGAAUAUUGCACAAUGGGGGAAACCCUGAUGCAGCGACGCCGCGUGAGUGAAGAAGUAUUUCGGUAUGUAAAGCUCUAUCAGCAGGGAAGAAAUAGCGACCUUUGGGUCGCCAGACGGUACCUGAUUAAGAAGCCCCGGCUAACUACGUGCCAGCAGCCGCGG
rnacentral:rRNA from 1 species